rnacentral:rRNA from 1 species
GAUGAACGCUGGCGGUCUGCUUAACGCAUGCAAGUCGAACGGAACCCUUCGGGGUUUAGUGGCGGACGGGUGAGUAACGCGUGAGAAUCUGCCUUUUGGACGGGGACAACAGUUGGAAACGACUGCUAAGACCCGAUGUGCCUUGGGGUGAAAUAUUUAUAGCCAAGAGAUGAGCUCGCGUCUGAUUAGCUAGUUGGUGAGGUAACGGCUCACCAAGGCGACGAUCAGUAGCUGGUCUGAGAGGAUGAUCAGCCACACUGGGACUGAGACACGGCCCAGACUCCUACGGGAGGCAGCAGUGGGGAAUUUUCCGCAAUGGGCGCAAGCCUGACGGAGCAAGACCGCGUGGGGGAGGAAGGUCUGUGGAUUGUAAACCCCUUUUGUCAAGGAAGAACACAAUGACGGUACUUGACGAAUCAGCAUCGGCUAACUCCGUGCCAGCAGCCGCGGUAAUACGGAGGAUGCAAGCGUUAUCCGGAUUUAUUGGGCGUAAAGCGUCCGCAGGUGGCUCAUCAAGUCUGCUGUCAAAGCGCGAGGCUUAACUUCGUAACGGCAGUGGAAACUGAUAGGCUUGAGAAUGAUAGGGGCAGAGGGAAUCCCAGUGUAGCGGUGAAAUGCGUAGAGAUUGGGAGAACACCGGUGGCGAAAGCGCUCUGCUGGGUCAUAUCUGACACUGAGGGACGAAAGCUAGGGGAGCGAAAGGGAUUAGAUACCCCUGUAGUCCUAGCCGUAAACGAUGGACACUAGGCGUUGACCG